ensembl:snRNA LOC120103356 U6atac minor spliceosomal RNA
AUUUGCAUAAAAGGGAGAGUUUAGCAUUGCCUUUGACAAGGACAGAAGAGUCAUGCCGGUCUAACAACAUACAUAUAUAAAGGCAUCAUCAGCUACUUUU